UACGUAGGGUGCGAGCGUUGUCCGGAAUUAUUGGGCGUGAAGAGCUUGUAGGCGGUCUGUCGCGUCUGCUGUGAAAAUCCGGGGCUCAACCCCGGACUUGCAGUGGGUACGGGCAGACUAGAGUGUGGUAGGGGAGACUGGAAUUCCUGGUGUAGCGGUGAAAUGCGCAGAUAUCAGGAGGAACACCGAUGGCGAAGGCAGGUCUCUGGGCAUUAACUGACGCUGAGGAGCGAAAGCAUGGGGAGCGAACAGG
rnacentral:rRNA from 1 species